rnacentral:lncRNA from 1 species
UGGGAUCAAACUGCGCUGCAAGACUUGUGGCGAGCCCUCCAGUUUUCUUGAUUUUAACAAUCACAAGAUCACGCAGCCGCGAUACAAUUGUAAGGCCUGCCGUUUUACUGUACAGUUAAGGGACGAGAAUCUCUUGAGGGAGCUUCGUUUGAUCGAUUAAGUAAACCUUAUAGAUUAGAUACGAUGUUCCAUAUGAUUUGAUUUACUCUUUAAACAUUGGGUAUCUGCCCUAAUUCCUCAAGAAGGCCCA